rnacentral:sRNA from 1 species
UUGGUUCAUGCACUCGGCCGAGCGGCCGGUU